CCUACGGGUGGCAGCAGUGAGGAAUAUUGGUCAAUGGACGAGAGUCUGAACCAGCCAAGUAGCGUGAAGGAUGACUGCCCUAUGGGUUGUAAACUUCUUUUAUAAAGGAAUAAAACGAGGCACGUGUGCCUUUUUGCAUGUACUUUAUGAAUAAGCAUCGGCUAACUCCGUGCCAGCAGCCGCGGUAAUACGGAGUAUGCGAGCGUUAUCCGGAUUUAUUGGGGUUAAAGGGUGCGCAGGCGGUCUGUUAAGUCAGCGGUCAAAGGCCGGGGCUCAACCCCGGGCCGCCCGUUGAAACGGGCAGUCUCGAGUUGGAGAGAGGUAUGCGGAAUGCGCGGUGUAGCGGUGAAAUGCAUAGAUAUCGCGCAGAACUCCGAUUGCGAAGGCAGCAUGCCGGCUCCACACUGACGCUGAGGCACGAAAGCGUGGGUAUCGAACAGGAUUAGAUACCCCUGUAGUC
rnacentral:rRNA from 1 species